rnacentral:miRNA from 1 species
CUGUGUGUGAGUGUUUGUG